rnacentral:rRNA from 1 species
AUUGAACGCUGGCGGCAUGCCUUACACAUGCAAGUCGAACGGCAGCACGGGAGCAAUCCUGGUGGCGAGUGGCGAACGAGUGAGUAAUGUAUCGGAACGUGCCCAGGCGUGGGGGAUAACGUAGCGAAAGCUACGCUAAUACUGCAUACGAUCUGUGGAUGAAAGCGGGGGACCGUAAGGCCUCGCGCGAUUGGCGCGGCCGAUAUCAGAUUAGGUAGUUGGUAGGGUAAAGGCCUACCAAGCCGACGAUCUGUAGCUGGUCUGAGAGGACGACCAGCCACACUGGGACUGAGCCACGGCCCAGACUCCUACGGGAGGCAGCAGUGGGGAAUUUUGGACAAUGGGCGCAAGCCUGAUCCAGCAAUGCCGCGUGCAGGAUGAAGGCCUUCGGGUUGUAAACUGCUUUUGUACGGAGCGAAAAGGCUCUCUCUAAUACAGGGGGCUCAUGACGGUACCGUAAGAAUAAGCACCGGCUAACUACGUGCCAGCAGCCGCAGUAA